rnacentral:misc_RNA from 1 species
AGAGUUAAACAGUACGUGAAAUUGUUGAAAGGGAAACGAUUGAAGCCAGUCGUACUGGCGGGAAAUCAACUUCUCAAGUGCUUGUCGUGGAUGACGUUGAGCCUCACGGCCUUCGUUGCUUACGUUAUGGUGCUUUUGAGGUGUACUUUUCCGUAUUGUAGGUCAACAUCGAUUUUGAUCGUCAUAAAAUGAUCGGAGGAAUGUGGCUCGGAUCUCGUAUCGGAGUGUUAUAGCCUUUGGUAGAUGUGACGAUUGGGAUCGAGGAUUGCAACGAAUACCCUUUGGGCUAUCCAUCUGACCUCUGAAAGUCGCUAGGGUGUAGAAAGCGUGCUUAUAACAUUUUUAGUUGGCGGUCAAAAGGUUAGAACGCGAUUAUAUUCGUUAAGGAUGUUGACGUAAUGGCUUUAAACGA